GUAAUAUAUCGGAACGUGCCCGAGUCGUGGGGGAUAACGUAGCGAAAGCUACGCUAAUACCGCAUACGAUCUAUGGAUGAAAGCGGGGGAUCGCAAGACCUCGCGCGAUUGGAGCGGCCGAUAUCAGAUUAGGUAGUUGGUGAGGUUAAAGGCUCACCAAGCCGACGAUCUGUAGCUGGUCUGAGAGGACGACCAGCCACACUGGGACUGAGACACGGCCCAGACUCCUACGGGAGGCAGCAGUGGGGAAUUUUGGACAAUGGGCGCAAGUCUGAUCCAGCAAUGCCGCGUGCAGGAUGAAGGCCUUCGGGUUGUAAACUGCUUUUGUACGGAACGAAACGGUGAGCUCUAAUACAGUUUGCUAAUGACGGUACCGUAAGAAUAAGCACCGGCUAACUACGUG
rnacentral:rRNA from 1 species